rnacentral:rRNA from 1 species
UACGGAGGGUGCAAGCGUUAUCCGGAUUCACUGGGUUUAAAGGGCGCGUAGGUGGUUUGGUAAGUCGGAUGUGAAAUCCCCGGGCUCAACCUGGGAACUGCAUUCGAAACUGCCUGGCUAGAGUUUGAGAGAUGGAAGUGGAAUUCCACAUGUAGCGGUGAAAUGCGUAGAUAUGUGGAGGAACAUCAGUGGCGAAGGCGGCUUCCUGGCUUAAAACUGACACUGUGGCGCGAAAGCGUGGGUAGCAAACAGG